rnacentral:rRNA from 1 species
AGCAGCCGCGGUAAUUCCAGCUCCAAUAGCGUAUAUUAAAGUUGUUGCAGUUAGAAAGCUCGUAGUUGAAUUUCGGGAUCAAUAUGUUGGUCGUGCCUUGGUACGUACUGGCAUUAUCGAUUCCUACCUUCUGAAGAACCUCGAUGUCAUUAAUUUGGUGUCUCGGGGAAUCAGGACUGUUACUUUGAAAAAUUAGAGUGUUUAAAGCAGGCUCGCGCUUGAAUACAUUAGCAUGGAAUAAUGAAAUAGGACGUUUGAUUCUAUUUUGUUGGUUUCUAGGAUCGACGUAAUGAUUAAUAGGGAUAGUUGGGGGCAUUAGUAUUCAAUUGUCAGAGGUGAAAUUCUUGGAUUUAUUGAAGACUAACUACUGCGAAAGCAUUUGCCAAGGAUGUUUUCAUUAAUCAAGAACGAAGUUAGGGGAUCGGAGACGAUCAGAUACCGGUCGUAGUCUUAACCAUAAAACUAUGCCGACUAGGGAUCGGAUGAUGUUAAUUUUAAUGACUCAUUC